GAUCUCGACGGAGAGUUUGAUCCUGGCUCAGGACGAACGCUGGCGGCGUGCCUAAUACAUGCAAGUCGAACGAGAUCCCGGAGCUUGCUCCGGGGGACAGUGGCGAACGGGUGAGUAACACGUGAGAAACCUGCCCUAGAGACCGGGACAACCGUUGGAAACGGCGGCUAAUACCGGAUGCCUUCACACGGUCGCAUGGCCGAGUGAAGAAAUACUCAGGUGCUCUAGGAGGGUCUCGCGGCCUAUCAGCUAGUUGGUGAGGUAAUGGCUCACCAAGGCAUCGACGGGUAGCUGGUCUGAGAGGACGAUCAGCCACACUGGGACUGAGACACGGCCCAGACUCCUACGGGAGGCUGCAGCAGGGAAUAUUGUGCAAUGAACGAAAGUUUGACACAGCGACACCGCGUGUGGGAUGACGG
rnacentral:rRNA from 1 species